GACGAACGCUGGCGGCGUGCCUAAUACAUGCAAAUUGAGCGCUGAAGGUUGGUACUUGUACCAACUGGAUGAGCAGCGAACGGGUGAGUAACGCGUGGGGAAUCUGCCUUUGAGCGGGGGACAACAUUUGGAAACGAAUGCUAAUACCGCAUAAAAACUUUAAACACAAGUUUUAAGUUUGAAAGAUGCAAUUGCAUCACUCAAAGAUGAUCCCGCGUUGUAUUAGCUAGUUGGUGAGGUAAAGGCUCACCAAGGCGAUGAUACAUAGCCGACCUGAGAGGGUGAUCGGCCACAUUGGGACUGAGACACGGCCCAAACUCCUACGGGAGGCAGCAGUAGGGAAUCUUCGGCAAUGGACGAAAGUCUGACCGAGCAACGCCGCGUGAGUGAAGAAGGUUGUCGGAUCGUAAAACUCUGUUGGUAGAGAAGAACGUUGGUGAGAGUGGAAAGCUCAUCAAGUGACGGUAACUACCCAGAAAGGGACGGCUAACUACGUG
rnacentral:rRNA from 1 species